CCUACGGGAGGCAGCAGUGAGGAAUAUUGGUCAAUGGACGAGAGUCUGAACCAGCCAAGUAGCGUGAAGGAUGACUGCCCUAUGGGUUGUAAACUUCUUUUAUAUGGGAAUAAAAUGUUCCACGUGUGGGAUUUUUUAUGUACCAUAUGAAUAAGGAUCGGCUAACUCCGGUCCAGCAGCCGCGGUAAUACGGAGGAUCCGAGCGUUAUCCGGAUUUGUUGGGUUUAAAGGGAGCGUAGGUGGAUAGUUAAGUCAGUUGUGAAAGUUUGCGGCUCAACCGUAAAAUUGCAGUUGAAACUGGCAGUCUUGAGUACAGUAGAGGUGGGCGGAAUUCGUGGUGUAGCGGUGAAAUGCUUAGAUAUCACGAAGAACUCCGAUUGCGAAGGCAGCUCACUGGACUGCAACUGACACUGAGGCUCGAAAGUGUGGGUAUCAAACAGGAUUAGAUACCCUAGUAGUC
rnacentral:rRNA from 1 species